rnacentral:rRNA from 1 species
GAUGAACGCUGGCGGCGUGCCUAAUACAUGCAAGUCGAACGGUUUAGUUCCAAGAGGCGUGCCUGUUGGGACUAGGCAGUGGCGGACGGGUGAGUAACACGUAAGCAACCUACCUGUCAAACCGGGAUAACCUCGGGAAACCGAAGCUAAACCCGGAUAAGCUCCUUUUUCGCAUGAAGGGGGAGUGAAAAGGUGCGACCUGAUGACAGAUGGGCCUGCGGCGCAUUAGCUAGUAGGUAGGGUAACGGCCUACCUAGGCGAUGAUGCGUAGCCGACCUGAGAGGGCGUACGGCCACACUGGGACUGGGAUACGGCCCAGACUCCUACGGGAGGCAGCAGUAGGGAAUCUUCGGCAAUGGGCGAAAGCCUGACCGAGCAACGCCGCGUGAGUGAGGAAGGCCUUCGGGUUGUAAAACCCUGUUGUUUGGGAAGAAGGGAAAGGGUAGGACCCUUUGGUGACGGUACCAAACGAGAAAGCCCCGGCUAACUACGUGCCAGCCGCCGCGGUAA